CACGUAGGGGGCAAGCGUUGUCCGGAAUCAUUGGGCGUAAAGAGCUCGUAGGCGGCUCAGUAAGUCGGGUGUGAAACCCUCAGGCUCAACCUGGGGACGCCACCCGAUACUGCUGUGGCUAGAGUCCAGUAGGGGAGUGUGGAAUUCCCGGUGUAGCGGUGAAAUGCGCAGAGUAUCAGGAGGAACACCGAUGGCGAAGGCAGGUCUCUGGGCUGACACUGACGUCAUGCACGAAAGCGUGGGGAGCAAACAGG
rnacentral:rRNA from 1 species